CCCGCUGAACUUAAGCAUAUCAAUAAGCGGAGGAAAAGAAACUAACAAGGAUUCCCCUAGUAACUGCGAGUGAAGCGGGAAGAGCUCAAAUUUAAAAUCUGGCAGUCUUUGGCUGUCCGAGUUGUAAUUUAGAGAAGUGUUACCCGUGCUGGACCGUAUACAAGUCCUCUGGAAUGGGGCGUCAUAGUGGGUGAGAAUCCCGUCUUUGAUACGGACUACCAGUGCUUUGUGGUGCGCUCUCGAAGAGUCGAGUUGUUUGGGAAUGCAGCUCAAAAUGGGUGGUAAAUUCCAUCUAAAGCUAAAUAUAGGCGAGAGACCGAUAGCGAACAAGUACCGUGAGGGAAAGAUGAAAAGAACUUUGGAAAGAGAGUUAAACAGUACGUGAAAUUGCUGAAAGGGAAACGCUUGAAGUCAGUCGCGUUGGCUGAGAAUCAGCCUUGCUCUUUUGCUUGGUGUACUUCUCAGUUGAUGGGUCAGCAUCAGUUUCGACUGCUGGAUAAAGCUCGAGGGAAUGUGGCAUCUUCGGAUGUGUUAUAGCCCUCGUUCGUAUACAGCAGUUGGGACUGAGGAACUCAGCACGCCGCAAGGCCGGGUUUUUAACCACGUACGUGCUUAGGAUGCUGGCAUAAUGGCUUUAAUCGACCCGUCUUGAAACACGG
rnacentral:rRNA from 1 species